GAUGAACGCUGGCGGCGUGCCUAAUACAUGCAAGUCGAGCGAACAGACGAGGAGCUUGCUCCUCUGUUGUUAGCGGCGGACGGGUGAGUAACACGUGGAUAACCUACCUAUAAGACUGGGAUAACUUCGGGAAACCGGAGCUAAUACCGGAUAACAUGUUGAACCGCAUGGUUCAACAGUGAAAGACGGUCUUGCUGUCACUUAUAGAUGGAUCCGCGCCGCAUUAGCUAGUUGGUAAGGUAACGGCUUACCAAGGCAACGAUGCGUAGCCGACCUGAGAGGGUGAUCGGCCACACUGGAACUGAGACACGGUCCAGACUCCUACGGGAGGCAGCAGUAGGGAAUCUUCCGCAAUGGGCGAAAGCCUGACGGAGCAACGCCGCGUGAGUGAAGAAGGUCUUCGGAUCGUAAAACUCUGUUAUUAGGGAAGAACAAAUGUGUAAGUAACUAUGCACGUCUUGACGGUACCUAAUCAGAAAGCCACGGCUAACUACGUG
rnacentral:rRNA from 1 species